rnacentral:rRNA from 1 species
UACGUAGGUGGCGAGCGUUAUCCGGAAUGAUUGGGUUUAAAGGGUGCGCAGGCGGCACGGCAAGCCGGCGGUCAAAUCGCGGGGCUCAACCCCGCCCAGCCGUCGGAACUGCCGGGCUAGAGUGGGCGAGAAGUGCGCGGAAUGCGUGGUGUAGCGGUGAAAUGCAUAGAUAUCACGCAGAACUCCGAUUGCGAAGGCAGCGCACCGGCGCCCUACUGACGCUCAGGCACGAAAGCGUGGGUAUCGAACAGG